rnacentral:rRNA from 1 species
UACGGGGGGAGCAAGCGUUGUUCGGAUUUACUGGGCGUAAAGGGCGCGUAGGCGGUCAGCACAAGUCAGUUGUGAAAUCUCCGGGCUUAACUCGGAAAGGUCAACUGAUACUGUGCGACUAGAGUGCGGAAGGGGCAACUGGAAUUCUCGGUGUAGCGGUGAAAUGCGUAGGUAUCGAGAGGAACACCUGCGGCGAAGGCGGGUUGCUGGGCUGACACUGACGCUGAGGCGCGAAAGCCAGGGGAGCGAACGGG